rnacentral:rRNA from 1 species
UACGGAGGGUGCGAGCGUUAUUCGGAAUUACUGGGCGUAAAGGGCGCGCAGGCGGUUUUUUAAGUCAGAUGUGAAAGCCCGGGGCUCAACCCCGGAAGUGCAUCUGAUACUGGAAGGCUUGAGUAUGGGAGAGGGAAGUGGAAUUCCUGGUGUAGCGGUGAAAUGCGUAGAUAUCAGGAGGAACACCUGUGGCGAAGGCGACUUCCUGGACCAAUACUGACGCUGAGGCGCGAAGGCGUGGGGAGCAAACAGG